AUUGCUCAGAACCCCAGCCUAGGGGGCUGUGACUCCAUGUGGGAGUCUGAACCUCCUCAAGGGGCCUCAGCUAAGCAGCAAGGGGGUGGAGAGAGCAGCUCAGAGCUCAGGGACACAGAGCUUCUGCACUCCGCCCCUCUGCUGGUCCUGACUUCGGAGACUUAGAAAUGGGCUGUCCUCAGCGGUGCUCUGACUUCAGGAAGCCAGUGAACCGGUGUCUGAGUCACUGCAGUUAGCUUGAGUCUCUCCCAGACCCAGCCAUUCAUCCACAUCAAAUAAAGACAGUCCAGGCCCCAGCUGGGCCUGCCCCGGGGCACCUCACAACACUCCUGGGAGAGGAAAUCCUGAGUCAACCUGGCUGGGAACCAACUGGAAACCAGGGACUUUAGUCAUGGCUGUCUGCUCUUGGGCGGGCCUUGCUGUGCUACCUGCUUCAUCUGAAGUACCGGUGACAAGUCUUCCACCUCCAGGUGUCUUUCUGUGAAAACGUUUCAUUGCGAGUAGCUAAAAGAAGGCAAGGUAAGCCUGAGCACUAUUUUCAUGAAAACUGCCUGCUCAAUCUAUUCUUUAAGGACCUGAAAACCCAGACCCCAAAGGAAUGUUCUGCUUUGCCAACAUUCACUGUCCCGGUGUUUGCUGACUUCACAAACAGAACUUGAUGAAAAUAUGAAAAGACCUGAGAAAGGGUGAAUGUAUGAGAGGAAGAUCCUCUGGGAGCCCAAGGAAUUUACAGAUCCCUGAAUUUUAUCACUGUAGUUACUUUUAAAUUAAAGACAAUAACUGUUCCUUCCAGGUUCUCGUUGACAAAUAAGAAUGCCGAUGUCACUCAAGCAUAUGAUAUGAUAAUCUUUCCCAGAACUGGGAGUAUUCAGAACUAACCAGACAUGGGAACUGUGUUUUUUCAAUGUCUGAGACUUUCUCCUAAUUCCAUCUUAGUCACACGUAGUUACUCAUUACCUUGAAGGGCAUUAAGAGUUUAUCCAUGGCUGCUGUACAUUUUGUGCUGCUUUGCUAAAUCAGGAAAAAAUGCAGACAGCUGAGUCAUAGUUUUCAAUUAGUUUUUCAAUUUCACCAGGAACAAAGUUUUUCAAUAUCUUUAUCAAUUUUGUUGCUUUUCAUAUUACUCUGAUUACAUACUUUGCAGGAUAAUCCAGCCUUUUCCUGAAGUAUAUUAAUAAUGCAUAAUAUAAAUGGGGAGCUGCAUUAUCAAAGUACUCUUAAACAGAGGUGAAAACUUGAAAUCCAGCAAGAUUUAGUGAUUCACAUUCAUGGUCUAUAGAGAUGUGACAGAGGAAAGGAGAAUAAGACAAUUAAGAACCUUGAAAUCAUGACAGGGAUUUAUUACCCAAGAAGAACU
rnacentral:lncRNA from 1 species